GAACACGUUCUUGGAUUUCUCAUGCUAGGCCUAAGGAGCAGACUGCUUAUAUUCAAGAAUGAUUUGGAGGGGAUAAAGUGUGCAAGAUUUUGAAUUCUUGCCAUAAGUCCCUGGCAGACAGCCAGGCAGCCUCAGAGGAAUAAGGCUAAUGAAGGGAGGGUAAAGAAGAUCCGGGAGUGUGGCUGGUAAUGCAGUAUUCAUUUAAUUGGGAGCAGACGGGCAGGAGAGGAUGCAGGAGACUGUACAAAGUUCAAGAAACGAUAUGCUUUAAUCAAGGUAAAAUGGAUGGAACAUCAGACAGCUCAUUAUAGAGACAAGUAAGCUCCAGUUCCAAAGUUGGUUGACAGAACAAGUCAUGACCUUGUGUGGAGGAAAAUGAGAUCCCGAGUGAAGUCUACAAUGUCAUUGACUCUGAAGAAGGACUCAGAGACCCAUUGGUGUUUAAUGACCCUUACUGGCCUAUGCAAUGGAAACUGGUAUGAUCUUCAGAAAUAGAUGGUUCUUUGGCAGUGUUAAGAAAUAUUAUUUUUGUCAUGUUCUAAUGCAGUAGAUAGGCACUUUUAUGCACUGCCUGCUUUUAUCUAUUGGUUUUGCAGAGAGAGACUUAGCAAACUUUUGAUGAAAUAUUACUGCCAUCUUAUUAAUGAACACUAAUCCUUUUAAUUUGAUUACAUCCUUAGGGUUUGAUUUAAUCUAUAAAAGACACCAGUAAAAACCCCAAGAUAUUUAAAUUUGGUGUGUGUAAACAGACUCAUUACAUAGAAAUGUUGUUGCCAUUCAGGCUUGAAGUUUUUGUUCUUGCAUAACUUAGAAUAUAUUCUAUAUUACAUCAAUACUGAGAGAACUUGUCUUUAUGGAUUAAGUGGAUGUUAGAACAUUGCCCAACAGACUUUUUUUCAUAAUGCUUAUUUUGUUGGACCUUUUAGUAUCACAUUGCCCUCCCAUUUAUAUAAGACGGUAAUAAUGAAAAGGUUUGAGAAAAGCACCCUUAAUUUUGAAUGCAAAUAAGUUUAAAAAAAUGAUGUACAUACCAUGGAAAAUUUUAUAAGGAAACAUUUAAAAUGUGAAGAUAACUUGGUGAUAAUAUUGGAGAGAAAUUACAACCUUAUUAUAUGCAUAAUUAGUUCUUCAUAGGUCUGCAGAUUAUAUUGUGUUGUAGAGGGUCCAAUGUUGCAAAAUGAGGAAAAGGUUAGGUGCAUUUUAUCAUUUUAAGGGCCAUGAUGAGAUAAAACAUGGUAAGCUGUUGUGCUGGCUCUUUUUAUGUUGAUCAUUGGCAGUUACCAAGCUGACUAUCUGACAUGAGCUGAAAACCUAUGUUGAAAAAAUGUCCAGUUCCAUUUUAUGUAGCUUCAACUCAUCUUUAAAAAAUGAAGUGAUUUAGAACACAUGUCACGCACUCCUGGGCCAGCCAGCUUCCCUUUCUCUCCUCGUAUGUAAUAUCUUUUUUUCCCCUUUCUAGCAAGUACUUUCAAAAG
ensembl:lncRNA novel transcript